GCUUGUUGUCAGUGAGCUGGGAGUCCGCCUUCAGUCUGGAGUUUAUUUGGGAAAAACUUCAUAUAUAUAGAGUACAGAAUAUGCCUCGUUCAAGGCGCCACCGAUCCAGCACAGACCGAAGCCGUAGCCGAUCCAGAGACCGUGACCGGGAAAGGCGACGACGAAGGGUAGAGGACUCGUCACGCACCAGAGGGUAAGAGCGGCGCCUGUGUCCCGCGUGUUACCUGAGUCACCUGUGUUGCCUGGUCACGUGAG